rnacentral:lncRNA from 1 species
AUAAAAAGUGGAAUUUUGCACAAGAACACCAACAACAUUCAAUUCAAAAUGAAAAGAUUACAAUAAAGGAAAUGAAAAUGUGUUUUUAUAAAAUUCUCAAUGAUCCGCCGAGGUCUAGUGGUAGAAGAGGGAUGAGUGAGUGCAACACAUCGGUUAUAAGUGGUCUGUAACUUGGCUCUGGCUGCACACACAACACUGCCACCGCUGCUACCUGAUAAAGAUGCUUCAAAUCCAUGGUUCCUUUGAUUGCAGGAUCCAAUAUGUUUGGCAGAUUAGCUCUGUCACUCAGCUUUGGUACAGCCUGUUCAACAAAUAGAUAUCUUAAAAAAGCCAAAGAGGAUUUAAAGCACAUUAUCUUGAAAGUUUGUACGUACCCAAGUGACAACGGAUUCUGGUUCAGUUGAUGGUUUCUCCACUACUGAUCUCUUCCCCAGGAGAAGUUCUAGGAGAAUCACUCCAAAUGAGUAGACAUCAUUCUUGUCUGUUACUUUCCCUUUAAAAAGAUGAAAACACACAAAGAGACCAAUUAUGAGCAACAGAUAAAGAAAAAUGUGAGAGACUAGUUGUUUAGUUAUUACCAUCAAGAAGAUACUCAGAAGGUCUGUUCAGAUUUUUGUUCUGUGUCAUCAACACAGUUGCAUACCCAAAAUCUGAUAUCUGAAGAGGGAAGCAAACAUAUAUCAUUACAAGAAGAAUGUUACAUUACUAUACAUAACAAGCUUUUAUCUUUUUACCUUUGCGUUGAAAUCAGAGUCUAGAAGGAUGUUAGACGAUUUCAAAUCUCUGUGAACUACAGGAGGAUGGCAAUGCUCAUGAAGAUACUCUAAUCCUCUUUAUACAAAAAUAAGAGAAAAAACUUUGUAAGCAUACAAAUGUGCUUGGAGAUCACAGGAAACUGCUAAUGGAUGAAUGGACUUUUACCUUGCUAUAUCGACCGCGAUUUUCAUUCUAAGCUGCCAAGUUAAACCUGAACCUUGACUAGGCCCUUCAAAUAUAUCCAAAAAAAGAAGUAAGCAAAAAUGUUAAAAGAUUGAACAGAGAGUUCAUAAACUAGGAUCAUCUCCCUUACCAUGCAGCCGACUCUCCAAAGAUCCAUUCUGCAUCAUCUCAUACACAAUACAUCUAGUCUGGCGAUUAUGACUCAGUAGUCUUAAAGCUUCAGCACCAUGAAAGUAUAUUGUACAGAUGUUAAUUGUUUGAGUUGUGUAAUAUGAAGGUACAAGGAACUUUUGCCACUGCUGGCUCAGAUGGGGCUUUCAAUUUCUGGGACAAGGAUAGUAAACAAAGACUCAAGGUAAUAUCAUGUUGCUUAUGUGCUUUUCAUUUAACUAUUGUGUCUUCUAUAUAACAUAAUAUCUAACUGUUGAGUGCAUUGUUCACUGAUGAAUGUCAGGCCAUGUCAAGGUGCAGUCAGCCAAUUCCUUGCAGUUCGUUUAACCACGACGGGUCGAUAUAUGCAUAUGCGGUAUGCUACAUCUUCUUUGUUUUCACUUUAUUAUAUUGAUGUUAAAUCUGGAAAAUCAAAAGUGUAUUUUUAUCAUAAUAUAGAAAUGACUUUGGAGAAUAUAAGAGUAGAAAGUAAUGUUCUUUUGAACAUUUCUGUAUUGUAGUCGUGCUAUGACUGGAGCAAAGGUGCAGAGAAUCACAACCCAGCAACUGCGAAAAGCAGCAUCUUCUUGCACCUGCCACAGGUGUGUUUAGUGUGCAACUCUCAACUCAUAAAAUCUGCCUCAUUCCAAACAUUAACUAUUAGUAGUUAGUGUGUACUAAUUUUGUAUGAAUGAACUUGCAGGAAAGUGAGGUCAAGGCAAAGCCAAGAGUAACGACCGGCAGGAAAUGAGAUUAGCUAAUUGCUUUCAGUGAGAGAGGAUAUCUUCCUCCCUUAUAGUGGUGGAUGAUGCUUUUAGCUGUCUUGAUAUCGUUUUAAUGUAGAGUCUCUUUCUUUCCCAUCAAGUAAAUUAUCUGUCUGUCUUGGAUGUUUCUCCUUUUGGCUCGGUUUGGAAUUGUGUUUGUCUAAGUACUACUACCACCCUCCGAAACAUAAUGAAACGCUUCUAGAACUCUUAUUAUAUUAAUUAUUAUACAGUUGAUAAAUUUGAGUAGUAUUAUGAUUAAAUGGACAACAUCAUACGCAUAUUGCAUAGAAUAUACACAUGUUUUUUCUUUUGUGAAAAAAAAAAAACUAUAAUCCUUGAACGGAGAGAGCAAGAAUAAAGUAUCGAAAUAUGGUUAUGGCUAUGGUUAAUAUAGCAAAAGAAUACAGAGAGAGAGAGAAAAGAAAAACAAAAACAAAUGGGAGUUGAUUAGUGGAAGCGGGAGUAAAGCGAAGGACCUGGACUUUGUCCCAUUGCAAAAACUCCCGCUCCUUCACUACUACAACUGCUAAUCAUCUUCACACUCUCUCUGAUAUAAAACGCUUGCAAACUUCAGGCUCCACCUGCAAACAAGGAGAAUUAGAAGCUGUUGUAGUGUUGUGAUCGCCACUGGUGUUCACACUCUCUGGCAAAGCUGAUCAUUUAGUAGACAGCACAAACCAAGAAUGCCAUUUCCAACAAGUGCUGACUGCUAUAGGAAACUUCUGCAACUGCUCCAUCGCCAUAGGUAUGAUCAUUGGGAUCGUUGUGAUGUAUCCUAUUCAACACCGUGCUUAUAAAAAUGGUAUAGACUAUCUUCUUGUGCUUCUCAUUGGAGGUAUCUCUAUUGCAAUGCCAACUGUUCUCUCUGUCACAAUGGCUAUUGGAUCUCACCAUCUCUCUCAACAAGGAGCUAUCACAAAGAGGAUGACAUCAAUUGAAGAAAUGGAUGGGAUGGAUGUUUUGAGUAGUGACAAGAUUGGAACUCUUAUACUCAACAAGCUUACUGUUGGCAAGAGUAUGGUUGAGGUUUUUGUCAAAGAUUUGGACAAGAAACAGUUCUUGUGAAUGCAUCAAGAGCCUCUAGAGUUGAGAAUCAGUAUGCUUGUAUUGUAGGAAUGCAUGGAGCUCCCAGUGAAGCAAGAGAAGGUAUCACUGAAGUCCAUUUCUUUCCUUUUAACCCUGUAGAUAUAAGCGUACUGCUACCACUUACACUGAUGCUAAUGGAAACUGGCACCGUGUCAGCAAAGGCGCUUCAGAACAGGUAAUAAAUGCAUAAACUUAAGUUCAUCAUCAGAUAUGCACUAAGUGGUAGAGCUUGGGAUAAUGUCAUUGAGAACAAGGUGAGGUUAACAAGAACACUAGUCCUUCUGCAGUAGUACUGUUUCUAACUUUGUUCCUUUUGUUUUAGACCGCUUUCACUUCAAAGAAAGACUAUGGAAAGGGAGAGAGAGAAGAACAGUUGGUACAAGCUCAACGUACCCUUCAUGGAUUGCAACCUGCUCAACCCUCAGAGAUGUUCAACGACAAGAGCACUUAUAGAGAACUUUCAGAGAUAGCAGAUCAAGCCAAGAGACGAGCUGAAGUUGCAGGGCAAGGCUCUAAGCAACUGAUUAAUCCAUAACAUUUCUGUUCCUAAGAAUAUGACCUUGGCAUUAUUACUAUUGUAAUUUUUCAGGAUAAGAGAGCGUCAUCCAUUGAAGUCAGCAGUGAAGCAGAAGGGAGUUGACAUAGAGGCUAUCCAGCAACACUACACCCUGUGAUUUUCAGAAACAAGUGGUUUCUUAGUUUAGUUUAGAACCAAAUCCACAAGAGUAUUUGAAUAAUAAACCACCACCUUCAUCAUUAGAAAAAUACUGCAAAAAAGAACAAAAAUAAUGUUUCUCUGACUAGCAGUGGCUGUUGGCUGCUUUAUUUGUUUUGAGAUAUUCUUGUUUUAUUGCCUUUACAAAACUAAUAAGAUUUCACAUUACAAAUUUUAUAAAAUAGCACAAGGAUUGAGAUAUGAGGACCAAAACAAAUUCUGAUACAGAUCAACAACCAAAACAAAUUAACAGAUAGCAAUAUCUUUUAGGGAUCCCUCCCUUGUUAGAAAUGUAUAAUGACUAGUCUACUAAACUCUCAGGUUACUUCAUCUGAGUAGAUGAUGAUGAGUUACUGAUGCAGCUUUUGUCUGGUUUGGCUUUGCAUGGUCAAGAUACCAGAGAGCUCCUUCAGCUGCAUGCUCAGCAGCAGCUUUCUUCUUGUGUUUGGGAUCACCAAAACAUUCCAAAACAGUUGUUCCUGAAGAAUCUCUAAUCUCAACCACAACUUUGUAUGUAAACCUUGACCCAAAAACAAUAUAAACCAAGUUCCAUGCAAAUUAAAAGGUUGUGACUAGGAGCAAGGUGCAGGUAAGUUAUGUGUGACUUACAAUCUCAUAUGACAAGGUCCAUCAACAUUGCAGCAAUCAUAAACAGGAGGUUUCCAUCUCUUGGAAAUACACAUUUCGUGUAACAAUGAUUUUGCUGAACCUUUCUUAGAUUCAUCUGGACCACAAGCGUUUACACAAAGUAACAAAUCUCAGCAUGAGAAAAAAAAACAAAACCUAAAAGUUAAAACCAGUCACUUUAAUGUGAUGAACCUAAAAGAUAAAACAAGAAGAUGACUAAGGGAGGUGAAUGAAGAAAAGGUAACACCUUUAGAUAUUGAUUUGGCAUCUUCUACAGGUUUGAGAACAGGGUGAUUCUCUUGUGUGGUGCUAACGCUUCUUGUGCUAUUAGGAUCGAUCUGAAUGUUAGAGAAGGAAGACUUGACAUUGUCUUCUUCAAGCCUCAUCUCUUGGUAUCUCUGCUUUGGCACAGUACCUGGCACCAUCAUUGUUCUUGGCUUCUGACAAAACAAUUGAAAGAAACUAAGAUGUAUCACUGAUUCCGACAGAGAUUUAUGUUUUUUUUUCAAAGAAAACGUCUUUGGUAUUAAAAAAAGAAUAGCCAAAUCAACGAGGAACGUUACAGAACAAUCGAAUUUGGAAGUAAAAUUGAAUGAAGAAAGUAUAUAUUUAUAUUUACCAGAGAGGAGUGUGUUGGGGGGAUAGAAGAAGGAUCCAAAGGAGGAAUGUCUUUGAGACUGAUGAUGAUAGAUCUUCUUCUUGAUGUGGUUUUCUGAUCCUCCUCCAUCUUCUCUCUCUCAUAACUCAAUUCGUCAAGUUUCUCGCUUAGGGAAUCGAACAAACGGAUAAGGUUAAUUAAUUACAACUCUUUCUCUUUCUCUCAGAGUUUUGUCUUCUUAUGUUUGGUCCCCAAAGUCAAAAGCUUUUGUCUAUUUUUUUUUGUGUUUGGUCAGAAAGUCAAAAACCUAAUUAAUUGUACUUACCAAACUACUUGAUACGAUUACCAAAAAAAAAACAGAUAAAAAGUGGAAUUUUGCACAAGAACACCAACAACAUUCAAUUCAAAAUGAAAAGAUUACAAUAAAGGAAAUGAAAAUGUGUUUUUAUAAAAUUCUCAAUGAUCCGCCGAGGUCUAGUGGUAGAAGAGGGAUGAGUGAGUGCAACACAUCGGUUAUAAGUGGUCUGUAACUUGGCUCUGGCUGCACACACAACACUGCCACCGCUGCUACCUGAUAAAGAUGCUUCAAAUCCAU